GCUAGAUGUGAAAGCCCCGGGCUCAACCUGGGAAUUGCAUUUAGAACUGGCAGGCUAGAGUACAGAAGAGGACAGUGGAAUUUCUAGUGUAGCGGUGAAAUGCGUAGAUAUUAGAAGGAACACCAGUGGCGAAGGCGACUGUCUGGGCUGAUACUGACACUGAGGUGCGAAAGCGUGGGUAGCAAACAGGAUUAGAUACCCUGGUAGUCCACGCCGUAAACGAUGUCUACUAGCCGUUGGGACCCUUGUUGGUCUUAGUGGCGCAGCUAACGCAAUAAGUA
rnacentral:rRNA from 1 species